CUAGGCUAAAUAUGACCACGAGACCGAUAGCGAACAAGUACCGUGAGGGAAAGUUGAAAAGCACUUUGAAGAGAGAGUUCAAGAGUACGUGAAACCGUUUAGGGGUAAACCUGAGAAACCCGAAAGGUCGAAGGGAGAAAUUCAUUCGCGUUUCGUAGUCGGCGUGAGACGGGGUCGAGUGACGAGAGACGUGUUCGCACGUUUCUUGCGCCCUCCGUUUUUCGAUCUGGCAACGAACGCGUGCACUUUUCUCCUGGUAGGACGUCGCGAUCCGUUGGGUGUCGGUUUACGGCUCGUAGUGGAGCCCGUUCGUACGGCUUACCCCGUUUACGAACGGACCUACGUGUCCCAGCUGACCCGCUCGACGGUAUAAGAAAGGUUUAAGGCCGCUAAUUAUUAGCGUUCGGCUCGUGGCAAGCGCGCCAGAUGCCCGUUGGCGAUCGGACCUAGUGCCGAUUCUGACCUCUGGUGACUGUUGGCUACGAAGUUCUCGAACAGACCUUCAAACCGAUCAGCGACGCUAUAGCUUUGGGUACUUUCAG
rnacentral:rRNA from 1 species